rnacentral:rRNA from 1 species
ACGCUCGACACCUACGGGAGGCAGCAGUGGGGAAUAUUGCACAAUGGGGGAAACCCUGAUGCAGCGACGCCGCGUGGAGGAAGAAGGUCUUCGGAUUGUAAACUCCUGUCCCAGGGGACGAUAAUGACGGUACCCUGGGAGGAAGCACCGGCUAACUACGUGCUAGCAGCCGCGGUAAUCUGAGCGGGCUGGCAAGGC